UACGGAGGGUGCAAGCGUUAAUCGGAAUUACUGGGCGUAAAGCGCACGCAGGCGGUCUGUCAAGUCGGAUGUGAAAUCCCCGGGCUCAACCUGGGAACUGCAUUCGAAACUGGCAGGCUAGAGUCUUGUAGAGGGGGGUAGAGUUCCAGGUGUAGCGGUGAAAUGCGUAGAGAUCUGGAGGAAUACCGGUGGCGAAGGCGGCCCCCUGGACAAAGACUGACGCUCAGGUGCGAAAGCGUGGGGAGCAAACAGG
rnacentral:rRNA from 1 species